GUACCAGCCCCUUGACACCACCAUUCAGACCCAUUACACCACCCUCCCACUCGGUUACUACCCGUAGUGGCAGCCACCACCCCCACUUCUCCAAACCCGACAACACAAGGCUGCCUCCAGCCCCUCUCCGUUGGAUUUCAGCCGUGUAUACACAUACUCGGAGAAAACCAUCCGGAGGUCACAAACACCACGAACCCAGCAAGGAUUUGAUCGCCCGACAUCUUCAAGGAUUCAAGGAAAGACUGAGGACAUAAGUGCAAG